CCACCGCGCCCGGCCAUAUCGAGGAGUUUUCUACCUGCUAACCCACCGGGGAAAAAUCGGCGCUCCAGCUGCUGGGACCAAGGCGUGAGAGCGUUGAAUCAUGCGUAUCACCGUUCUCACAAAAUUGGUGUCUUUGUACCAAGACAGUGCCACAACACAACUCAGUGACCAUCGGUAGAGCAGCCUCAUCAUGGGCGAUGCUCCGUCCGUUGUUUCUCUUGAGAUCUUUUGCGUAGCUCGGUCCUGCCCCGCAUGUGGCGACCGGGACUCAAGAGACACGGAAAACGUUUUUUUGUUUUGGAAAACAUGAAAUAGGCUUUGUAGAUGGAGAGGAGGUCAAGGGACAGGCACUGCGCCGCAGAGAGCGAGGACCCACUCUUCUAUUCCUCUGCGGAGGAGGCACGGACACACCGUGUGGCCCGAAACAGCGGCAGGAGAGACCCGAGCUCCGACCGCCGUGACAGAGUCUCAUUCUGUCACCUAGGCUGGAGUGCAGUGGCAUGAUCUCAGCUCACUGUAACCUCUGCCUCCCAGUUUCAAGAGAUUCUUGUACCUCAGCCUGAGUAGCUGGGAUUACAGGCGUGCACCACCACACCUGGCUAAUGUUUUGUAUUUUUAGUAGAGACGGGGUUUCACCAUGUUGACCAGGAUGGUCUCGAUCUCUUGACCUCGUGAUCCACCCGCCUCGGCCUCCCAAAGUGCUGGGAUUACAGGCUUGAGCCACCGCGCCCGGCCUAAAAUUUUUUAAAAGUUAUAUAUAUUAUGGUUUUUUACCAAAAUUUAAAAAAUUAAUGUACAAUCUACAUGCAGAAAAAUGCACAAAUGACAAGUGUGUAUCUUGAGAGCUUGAAUUUUCACAAAUGGAAUGCAUUUGUGUAACCAGCAGGAGAUCAAGAAACAGAAUAUUACUAGUGCCCUAGAAGCCACCUGUGUGUCCCCUUGCACUGCUCUUCUCAAGGACAACCACUCUCCUUACUCCUGAUACCAGAAACAAAUUUUGCCUGUUCUUGCUUUUUAUAUAAAGAGAAUCACAGAGUAUGUA